GCCUGCUCUGCUGUCUCCAGCCACCUCCGUCCAGGGGCAGCCAGCACAGGCGCCUGGGAGGCCUAAUCGGAUCGCGGCUCCCAGAGGGUCACUAAUCAGAUUGUUUUGCCUGCCGUGUUCCUGUCAAAACGAAUGUGCAGCGUUUCCAGACGGACGCACGCUCCCCUCCUCACUCCAGUUAGAAAAACACGGAGUGUGCAGGUGCAUUGUGACUCAUGAAAUCGCUCUUCGCUCAAAGGUCUGUUAACGGACUUUGUUUUGGGUCAGAUUCGGUUCUACAAACUGCUACCUGUGACCCUGACAGCAUGAUUUACUCUCUCUGGGCCCCAACCUCCCGUGCCCUGUGGUGGAAGCGUCCCCUUCCUAUCUACCAUCCUGGGGCUCUUCGGACUCUGACUCGGUGUUUCUACAAAGUACACGAAAAAGAGACCGUUUAUUUUCUAUCGUAUGAAAGAAAGAAGCAACUGCAGAGGACACCAGCAAGGCUGCAGGUGUUGUGUGGGUCCCUGCAGCUUUCCUUCCAGGGAGAACAGAGUCUCGCCCUGCUGCCCAGGCUGGAGUGCCGUGGAGCGAUCUCGGCUCACUGCAACCUCCGCCUCCCCGGUUCAAGCAAUUCUCCUGUCUCAGCCUCCCCAGUAGCUGGAAUUAAAGGCACACGCCACCACACCCAGCUAAGUUUUGCAUUUUUAGUAGAGACGGGGUUGUACCAUGUUGGCCAGGUGGCCUGGAACUCCUGACCUCAAGUGAUCCGCCCACCUCAGACUCCCAAAGUGCUGGGAUUAUAGGCAUGAGCCACUGUGCCCAGCUACUACAGCUACUUUGAUACCAGGAGGGAAGCAACCCUGAGAAUAAGACAGAUGGGUGAAGCACGGCAUGGCAGAGAUUUGUAGAUAAAUGUUACUGGAACCCUGAUCACAUUGUACCUGAAGCCUGCUCUCCUCCGGACUUUCUAGUUAUGAGUCAAUAUUAAUCAACAAUUUCAUGUUUAAGCUGGUUUGAGUUGGGCAUUCUUGAAACAUAAAAGUCCCCAUCUGAUGCCAGCACUAAAUGGAACAUUCUUAGUACUAGAGAGGACAUCAAGCUCUCAGGUUGCUAAAGUUGUCUUUCUGUGGGCUCAUACAUGCCAAUGAUAACAAUAUAAUAAUACAGUGCCUGACCAUACCUGGGGUAGUGCCAAGGUCUCCACGGGCAGGAACUUGCUUCGUCUUCCCGAUAGCAUUAUGGGCGGGGGCUGUAAUUAGCUCCAUCUUGCAGAGGAGGAAACAGGCUUACAGAGGGGGAAGCUUCACGCACUUCCCUGGGUCCUGCUUUUCUUUCUUCCCACACAGAGACAACCUGGGGUAGGGCAGGGGGUGGGGGAUUGAGGACAGGCCAGCUUUGGUUUCUUUUGGUAAACUUUUUCCGUGUUUUUUUUUUUCUUCUUCAUUAGACACACGUAGGAUGUUUCCAAAAUCCGUGUGAUUCAAGUGCAUUCCCAGCAUGUGUCUGUGUUUCUUUGCUUUGACUCCUUAAAGCAACACAGGGCACGUCCCCAUCUGUGUCAACAGAUCCUUCCGAGGCCUGAGGAAAACAUUUCCACUUAUGUUUUCAGUUAUUUUUCUUUCCAUUCAAAUGUUUUUGUUUAUUCCUCAAAAAUGUCUAGAGCCCUUGCUUGAGUGGGACUCUGUCUCCUCCAAGGAUGUUGGCUGCUUUCACUCUCCCUCGGUGCAGUGCGACGUCUCUGCCUUGGCCUCCAGGUCUGGUCUGUGACUGCCUCCCAGGAAGCGCCUCCUGGCCUUGUGACCUGCAUUUCUCUGGAACUCAGCUGUAGCCCUUGCUUUUUAUCUCACUCACUUCUUUUCGUGGCUUUUUGCUUCAUUGUGGUGGAUGCCGAGGCUUCCGGCCCUUGACCAUUCUGUUUGUCACAGCCCAGAAGUUUUAGGUGGGACCGCCUUCCACCUGCUGGGCUGAGGGGCCUUCAAAUGGCCUCGUGGUGGUUUAUUCUCUGCCUUUCAAUGUUUUUCCAUUUUGCUUGUUCCCACAGUGUAAAGGCCAGCAGCGGCCGCACACCCUGCGUUUCAGUUUCUCAGGCUCUGCCGGGCUCUCCUCGCUGGCCGCAUCUCCCCCUGCAGAGCCACCCGUGCUAACAGGCCAGACUGGCGGCCGCGCCGACCACCUGGGAGAGACGUCCCACACCUGCGCCCUGGCAGGACAACGAAGCCAAAGAGGCGGUGGGCGUUCCAGUGGGCGCUCCGGCCACCCUCCUCCCCCUCCGGACUCCAUUCUUCCCAGGGCUGUGUCCUGGGCCUCACUUCCUGCCCUGAGCAGCCUGCCCCACCCCGGCCCGGCUCUCACGGCCCCUCUGCUCACGUCCAGGGCCUCGGACUGCCCAUGUGUGGGGAGGGGUCGGCUCUAUCAGGUGGUUCUGACCUCGGUGAGCCCUGGGGCUGUGGGAUGUCACCCCUGGCCCCACAGGAGGCCAUCGGUUGGGGCCUGUUUUUCUCUCUUGGCUCCAAGUUUCAAGGCUUGCGUGCUUCUUUUUCACAAUGUUAAACUGAUCUUGGCGGGAAGCUGCAGACUCCCUGCUGUGCCCUCCUGAGAGAGUGGUGAACAGUCCCAAGUUUUAGAUUCCAUCCUUUUUCCCGAGAGUGGGGGAAAUCCACUAACUGCCCAGCGCUUCUUAUGGGGAUCAGGGCCUGAGGAGGACUUGGCACCGUUCUUGGGCCCGGGGCUAUGGGUGGCCAGCCGGCUGAAGCUGUGUGGGCCGGGAGGCCCUCCCUGACCUCUGUGCUCCCCGGGGGUGCGCAGGCGCCCGGCCCCACCCCCACUUCAGUGGGCAGCCAAGUAUCGGGCAGUGCCCCCCAUCCUGGGGCAGAGAACACCGACAAGGGCCCCACCCCCAGGUGGAGGCAGUGGGCACUGUUUGGAGAGUCGCAGGGCCACAGGGCUGGCAGGAAGGGGGUGGAGGCCCUGCCCCAGCAUGACAAGUGUGUCUUCCACACACCCCCCACCACGCAGUCUCCCCUGGAGUGCCUGGCUGGACCACUUGAUGUCCGCAGGAUGAGGAGUCAGCCCAGCUCCUGCCUCUGGUGAUGGGGACUUUCAGGUUGUUGGUGGUUCAGGUUUUUCUGUUUUAGCUCCUACCUCAUUAAAAAUUAUAAGAAUAAUUUAAAAGCCCUCUGGGUUUCUGUAGGUUGGUGGACAUUCUGUGCGGAAAACACCUGCCUGACCGUAAGCACUUCUGAGGAUGACCCAGCCCCACGAAGCAGCGUACAGUGUGCACCACUGGGUCCCUCCUGUCUCCUUAGGGAACAAAGAACCCCCGCAUUCUCAAGGUGGCCCCAAAGCGUGACCCGCUCCAGAAAGCAGCACCCCCCCAGCGGGUGGGAGAGGCCCUGCCCCGUGUGUCCCGGCUGGCCCUGUGUGUCCCGGCUGGCCCCGUGCAGACGGGCAGAUGGGCACUGCAGACGGGCAGCCACCGCCUUUGCUGGACGAAUACUUCCCACGUCCACUUAGCUGGGCACAGGAGCUCACCUUGCCCUCCGGUGUGGGCGUGGUGCGUAAGCAGUGCCCGGGGGCCACAGGGGGGGCUCCUGGAUUUGCCUCCAGAGACAACAGGAUGGAAAUUUGGUUCCGAGAAUUUUAUGUACAUGUGGGUAGUUGAGGUUAAUUAGCUUCUACUAAAAUGCACAAACCAGGUGUCUACUUCUGGGUUCUGAUAACUUCAUGCACAGGGGCACCCACCACCCAGAGCAGGCCGGGCUGUUUCCCCACGAAGCUCCUUUCACACCAGUUCCCCACCUGCUGCUGGACAGGCCUCAGGAGGAUUCUUCGCUUCCCUUGGUGGGAUUCUUCGCUUCCCUCCCUGCAGAGACACUGGCUGUCCUUCUGCCCCACCCAGCCCCCGGUCCCUGCCAGGGAAAGGUGCGCCCCCCGGAACCACCUGGGAAGGACACUGUGGGGCCUGUGGGCUUGUUCAGCUGCUGGCUCAGCUCAGCUGGAACCUCCAAAAUGAGGCCGAAGCUGCCUGGGGUAUGCUCCUGGUUUCCACGGGUCUUCGGGGCCAUCAACCUACAGGUCGAUUUUGAGGGAAGAAGAGGGCAGCUGUGCCGGAUCCGCAAGAUUUCACGGAAUCAGAAAGUCCUUCCUGAACUCCGUUCAACAAGAAUCCAGACGCUCAAUUGGACCCAUGAGGUUUCACAGUUGCCAAGGCUGUGAGCCCCAGGAGUUAGAGGGUGAGGGUCCUGCCCAGCUGGGAAGCCACGUGGCCCAACGGCCAGGACACAAGAUGCCGUGGGGCAAGCACUCUGCCUCCGUGGGCCCUCCCUCCACAAAAUAUCAAAAAUCCUGUUUUACGUCUGUGUUGAUAAGAA